rnacentral:rRNA from 1 species
UAUUGCACAAUGGGGGAAACCCUGAUGCAGCGACGCCGCGUGAAGGAAGAAGUAUCUCGGUAUGUAAACUUCUAUCAGCAGGGAAGAAAAUGACGGUACCUGACUAAGAAGCCCCGGCUAACUCCGUGCCAGCAGCCGCGGUAAUACGUAGGGGGCAAGCGUUAUCCGGAUUUACUGGGUGUAAAGGGAGCGUAGACGGAAGGGCAAGUCUGAUGUGAAAGGCUGGGGCUUAAACCCAGGAAUGCAUUGGAAACUGUUGUUCUAGAGUGCCGGAGAGGUAAGCGGAAUUCCUAGUGUAGCGGUGAAAUGCGUAGAUAUUAGGAGGAACACCAGUGGCGAAGGCGGCUCACUGGACUGUAACUGACGUUGAGGCUCGAAAGCGUGGGGAGCAAACAG